rnacentral:rRNA from 1 species
UACGAAGGGGGCUAGCGUUGCUCGGAAUCACUGGGCGUAAAGGGUGCGUAGGCGGGUCUUUAAGUCAGGGGUGAAAUCCUGGAGCUCAACUCCAGAACUGCCUUUGAUACUGAAGAUCUUGAGUUCGGGAGAGGUGAGUGGAACUGCGAGUGUAGAGGUGAAAUUCGUAGAUAUUCGCAAGAACACCAGUGGCGAAGGCGGCUCUCUGGUCCGGAACUGACGCUGAGGCGCGAAAGCGUGGGGAGCGAACAGG